UCCUGAUUUCUUGCUUCUAUGAUAAUAGAUCUGGGGUUAUCUGGGAUGAGAAUGCUUGUUCUCACUAGUGGAAGCUGGAUUUUUUAAGUCUGAUUGGGAUUUAGAAUUAAGACUUUCCAUGACUUUCUUUAUAUAUCAGUCGUUUUAGAGGAAGACUGUUUUAUGAGAAAAAGUAAAUCAAGCUUCCAUGGAAGACGUAAUUAUAUGGGGCAGUUUAGUAAAUGGACAGAGCUUCUAGAAGGUUUAUAUUAAGUCUGGCUAGGAAGCUAGUGUUUAUGGUCCCGGUUUCCCAGAUUUGGUUCCUUAUCUUCUUGGUCUCCCUCUUCUAUCACUUCUCUCUCAUCAAAAAUCUCGCAGCAUCUGAGUUUUUACUCGAAAUGAAAAUGCAAAUCCAAACCAAAACCUAAAUGUUAUUCUUUGCCUCAAUCUUGGUCUCUCAUCUUCUCUAUUAUUUUUUAUACUCAAAUUCAUCGUUGAAACCCUAACUAACUCGAAAUCAUGUUUUCCUCUAUGAAAAUUUGCAUCUGUCUACAUCGACGGAAGAUUUGAAUCCACCAACUCCAGAUGCAAUCUGAAAAUAUUGAUGGUAAUAAAAGAACAUGAUUAAAUGAAGACGUUUUCUGACCUUGUAGAUCUAAAUCAAGGCUUUUGGAUUUAAUUAUUAAGCUACUGAAAAAGAUGGUGAAGGAGGAGAAAUUAGUAGAAAUAUAAUCAAUGGGUUUCUUUUUGUUGUUAAUUUUGUUAUGCAAAUCCUAAUUUUUCUGUUAAAUUUUGUGUAGAUUGUAACAUUGUUCUGUGUUUUAUUAUCCGCUGUUUAGGGGUAUUUAUCUGGAAAGAGAAUCCUAGAAACAUCCAGUUUGGCUUGUGGUUGGAUGAACAACUUCAUGAGAAACAACUUCUAAGUGUUAAUUGGCCAUGUUAUCAUCUGUUAUGGUAUCCCGGAGUUGGUAAAAUUUGGAUCUUUUUGGCUGGAAGCAAAAGAAUCAUGCAUCCUUGAGUGAUGUAUUAUGCUGAAACGAAGUAUGUAUGGAGAUAUUGAGGUGGAGAAUUCACUGGAUUUUGUACAAUAAGAAUCUAAUGAAAAAUUUCAAAUUUACAACGACUAGUUUCUUAUUCUUUUUAUUUUCUAUCUAUUUAUGUGUUGAUAUGCAUCACGAUUAGCACAUCUGCUGGCUUAGGACAGAUUCUGACACGGAUCUUUUAUCAUAAAGUCAUUGGAGUUACGACCGUCUUUCUGUUCUUAGAAGGAAAUAUUGAACUUAACUUCCAACAGUUUCUACCAUCCUGGAGUUUAUUUAUCGCUUAUGACUGAAGAGUUUUGGAGGUAAAUUUAUCCAAAGUUAAGGAAAGAAGCCGUAGUUUAGUCUUGGAGUUGCUAAACUAAAGAUUAGGUUGGUAUCUUUGAAGAAACUAAGAUUCCCCAUCAAAGCAAUGAAUUUAUUCUUGAACUUCUCCGCGAUGUCCAUUUUAAUUUUGAAAGGUUCAUUAGUGACCUUAAGCUCACCAUUUUGGGUAAGGCUCAGCUUGGGUUGGCUAAUAGUUACAUCAGAGCUAUGGUGAAGUUCAGCGUCAACCGGGUUGAUAUCAUGGUUAUUCAAGUUAUCUCCAUCCUUGAUAUUCUUGUUAAAGAUGUCAACUCCAUGAGAAUCAGGUUUAGUCAAUUUUAAAUGGGGAUACAAGCUCUUAUAUUUCUUAGUGAAAAUCAUAUGUUGGUUCUUUAUAAAUUGAUCGGCUCGAAGAUUGUUUGUUUUCUCCUUUCUUCAGAGAGUGGUACUCAUAGCACUUACCUGAACUAUUGUUACUUUCUGUCAGUUGUAUCAACACUAUUGUUAGACCCCUUUAUCUUCUGAACUGCUUAUACUCGUGGCAUUUCCAUGGCAACUUUUUAACUUGCCAUGGUGGGUAUUCGUCUACCCAUAAAUAUAUUCUACUUUGAGUUGGGAUUCUAUGUCUGUUUAUACUACAUUUACUUGUUUGUUCAAUAGUUAAUAUAUGAUAUUGCGUAUUGUUUGGAUUUUUUUCCCCUGUUCUAGAUUUCAAUUUCAAGCCUGUCAGGAUUACGAUAUCUUAGGCACCUGCAUCUGGAAAAGGAGCACAGUGCGAACUGUUGGUACUUGUGGAACUUCCCUGAAGUGACCGCGAAUUUUGAUAUCGAAUGAAGAGGAAUCUGUAGUAUCAACUGUUCAACCUGCUAUGGAUGUUGAUUCGCCCUAUCCAAGAUUUCAAGUUCAAACAUGUUAGUAUUAUGAUAUCUUGCGCACCUGCAUCCGGAGAAGGAGCACAACGCGAGAACUCAGAAAGUAUACAUGUAAUGGUUAUGGAGUGAGACGACAACUUGAAUGUUGAGUGACAUCUUUCAUACAAACAGGGGCUGAGCAUCGGACGGAUGGACAUAAUUAGAGCUAAUUUCUAAGUAAAUGAAGUCAUGGAUGGUGAAGUAUUGCCUUCUUAGUGUUGAAGCUAUCUGGUUGUCAAUCUUGUAUUAGGAAUAUAAAGUUAAGCAUUUGAAGUUUUGAGAUUUGGAAAAGUAUUCUAAAUAGUCAAAGUUAUAAACUGUUAGCAAUUUUUAAUAAAAUUCAGUUUUAAAGUCACUAUUAAUUUAGCAAUUUAGUUUUUUUGAUCAAUAAAGUUUUGAGUUGAUAUUAUUUUAAUUGUGAUUCAGCUGAAUCAGCUUUGGAUUCAGCUAAAUCAAUUUAACUUCUGUUUAUAAAAUAAGUUCAACAAAAACGUCUGUUUUUGUCAGUGUUUGCAAUGUACUGUUCGAAAAAGACGUUUUUUGGAAAAUUUACUCCUCCCCGAAGCAGUCUUUUGAGAUAUCAGACUACAAUAUUAGGGCUCGCGGAAACAGUCACUUUUAGCGAUUAUAAGUGUGUUUCUGGCAGACUAUUUUUUAUAUUUUCCACUUGUCUGUUUAUUUUAGAUGCUUCCAUGGGUGUUGAUGUAACCUUUUCUGGUGAUUUGGCUUAAUGUUGUGUCUUAUUGUGGCUAAAAUGUAUCCGAUCUGCCUGUUUCUCUUCUGAUUUCUUUUGAGUUUCUGAUGAUUAAUCUGUUCUUCUCUUGAUGUCUAACUUCUUGCAGUUAUCUCAUUGAAUUUCCUCUUCUUUCCUCUCUCUUCUAAUGUCUAUUUCUUUUCAGGGUCUCUUUCAUGAUUAUCAAUGUAUCUCUGUGGUUAAUUCCAAAUUCUGUUUUUUCUCUUUUCUGGUGGCUUUCAUCUAUUGGUUCAAUGAGCUUGAGAAGCUUGGUAUGUGUUAGUUGUUAGAUCGAAGAUUUACAGUACUACUCUUUUCUUCUAGUUUCAUUGGUUUUCUUAUUUAAUCUUUUCCUUCCUAGUGUUCUUGGCAUGGUUGAUUGACCGGUUUCUCUUUAGUCUGAUUGGUUUCUUCUUGCCUAGAUUAGGUUCCUCACUCUUUUUUUAUAGGUCUGUUUUUGUUCAAAACCCUUUUAAGGAAUAUUUUUGUAACUUUCCUUUUGCUCUUGUUUUUGGCUUUCAAAAAUAUUAUCCUGUUUCUAUUGGUUCGGCUGAUGUGAAUCUUUUGUUCCUCCUAUGUUUCUGUUCUUUCCCCUUUAUUCUUCUAUUUUGUUUGUUAUGACGUCUUGAUUCCGUUUAAUUUCAAAAUUGCUCUCCUGUUGUUUUGUUCUAUUUAGUUGUUAUCUUCAAAAAUCCUUUAU